AAUUGUCCACGUAAGCGGAAUGCUUCUCGACAAUAUGUUUGACGAUAUGUUUCUCCACUUCGUCGCCAACCAGUUUCGGGUCACGCCGAACAUGAAUCUUUUCAUUUCCAGUAACAAGAGUCACCUCCUCCUUUCGGGUCAAAAGUUCAUUUGCAAUGACCAUAUGCAUCUUGUACUUUUUCAGAGCUGCAUUUGCCUUCUCCAAGAGGAUUUUUACAUCAGUCUCUAGCUUGAAGG
rnacentral:misc_RNA from 1 species